rnacentral:rRNA from 1 species
GUAAGGAAUAUUGGUCAAUGGACGAAAGUCUGAACCAGCCAUGCCGCGUGGAGGAUGAAGGUCCUCUGGAUUGUAAACUUCUUUUAUAUGGGACGAAAAUGGGGCUUUCUAGCUCAACUGACUGUACCAUAUGAAUAAGCACCGGCUAACUCCGUGCCAGCAGCCGCGGUAAUACGGAGGGUGCAAGCGUUAUCCGGAUUCACUGGGUUUAAAGGGUGCGUAGGUGGAUUGGUAAGUCAGAGGUGAAAUCUCCGGGCUCAACUCGGAAACUGCCUUUGAUACUAUCAAUCUUGAAUAUUGUGGAGGUUAGCGGAAUAUGUCAUGUAGCGGUGAAAUGCUUAGAUAUGACAUAGAACACCAAUUGCGAAGGCAGCUGGCUACACAUAUAUUGACACUGAGGCACGAAAGCGUGGGGAGCAAACAGGAUUAGAUACCCCGGUAGUCC